rnacentral:rRNA from 1 species
GAACGAACGCUGGCGGCAUGCCUACCACAUGCAAGUCGAACGAGACCUUCGGGUCUAGUGGCGCAUGGGUGCGUAACGCGUGGGAACCUGCCCUUAGGUUCGGAAUAACUCCCCGAAAGGGGUGCUAAUACCGGAUAAUGUCUUCGGACCAAAGAUUUAUCGCCUUUGGAUGGGCCCGCGUUGGAUUAGCUAGUUGGUAGGGUAAAAGCCUACCAAGGCGACGAUCCAUAGCUGGUCUGAGAGGAUGAUCAGCCACACUGGGACUGAGACACGGCCCAGACUCCUACGGGAGGCAGCAGUGGGGAAUAUUGGACAAUGGGCGAAAGCCUGAUCCAGCAAUGCCGCGUGAGUGAUGAAGGCCUUAGGGUUGUAAAGCUCUUUUACCCGGGAUGAUAAUGACAGUACCGGGAGAAUAAGCUCCGGCUAACUCCGUG